rnacentral:tRNA from 1 species
UCCAUGGUGGUCUAGUGGUUAGGAUUUGGUACUCUCACUGCUAUGGCCUGGGUUCAAUCCUGGUCAGCGAA